UACGGGGGGGGCAAGCGUUGUUCGGAAUUACUGGGCGUAAAGGGUUAGUAGGUGGCCAACUAAGUCAGACGUGAAAUCCCUCAGCUUAACUGGGGAACUGCGUCUGAUACUGGUUGGCUUGAGUGCAGGAGAGGAACGCGGAAUUCCAGGUGUAGCGGUGAAAUGCGUAGAUAUCUGGAGGAACACCGGUGGCGAAGGCGGCGUUCUGGACUGCAACUGACACUGAGAAACGAAAGCCAGGGUAGCAAACGGG
rnacentral:rRNA from 1 species